rnacentral:rRNA from 1 species
UGCGUGGAAGGGCCAUCGCUCAACGGAUAAAAGCUACCCUGGGGAUAACAGGCUUAUCUCCCCCAAGAGUCCACAUCGACGGGGAGGUUUGGCACCUCGAUGUCGGCUCAUCACAUCCUGGGGCUGUAGUAGGUCCCAAGGGUUGGGCUGUUCGCCCAUUAAAGUGGUACGCGAGCUGGGUUCAGAACGUCGUGAGACAGUUCGGUCCCUAUCCGUCGCAGGCGUAGGAAAUUUGAGAAGACCUGUCCUUAGUACGAGAGGACCGGGAUGGACGUACCUCUGGUGUACCAGUUGUCCUGCCAAGGGCAUGGCUGGGUAGCUAUGUACGGAAUGGAUAAGCGCUGAAAGCAUCUAAGCGCGAAGCCAACUUCAAGAUAAGAUUUCCCACCGCAAGGGUAAGACCCCAGAAAGACUAUCUGGUUGAUAGGUCGAAGGUGUAAGUGCAGUAAUGUAUUUAGCUUAUCGAUACUAAUAGGUCGAGGACUUGACCAAU